CGGGAGGCAGUCGUUGAGCGAUAAUGUCCAACGGCGAGAGGGAAAGAACCCAGAGCCACAGCUAAGGUCCCGGAGUGGCCGCUGAGUAUAGCGAAGGAUGUGUUUCUGCCGUGACAACUGGGAGGUUGGCUUAGAAGCAGCCAUUCCUUGAAAGAGUGCGUAAUAGCUCACCAGUCCAGCGGGGAUGCGCCGAGAAUGGUCGGGAUUAAGCGGCCCACCGAAGCUUGGCCUGCUGUGCAAACAGCGGGGUAGGGGAGCGUUCCGCGUGCGGUGAAGGGGAGG
rnacentral:rRNA from 13 species